GACGAACGCUGGCGGCGUGCCUAACACAUGCAAGUCGAGCGGAGUCAGUAAGAGGAAGUUUUCGGAUGGAAUCUUAUUGAUUUAGCGGCGGACGGGUGAGUAACGCGUGAGCGACCAACCUUGCACAGGGGGAUAACGGACCGAAAGGUUCACUAAUACCGCAUGAGACCACGGUGUUGCAUGACACAGGGGUCAAAGGAGUAAUCCGGUGCAAGACGGGCUCGCGUCCGAUUAGGUAGUUGGAGGGGUAACGGCCCACCAAGCCUAUGAUCGGUAGCCGACCUGAGAGGGUGAUCGGCCACAUUGGAACUGAGAUACGGUCCAAACUCCUACGGGAGGCAGCAGUGGGGAAUAUUGGGUAAUGGGGGAAACCCUGACCCAGCGACGCCGCGUGAAGGAAGAAGGUUUUCGGAUUGUAAACUUCUGUCCUUGGUGAAGAGAAGAAGACGGUAGCCAAGGAGGAAGCCCCGGCUAACUACGUGCCAGCCGCCGCGGUAA
rnacentral:rRNA from 1 species